GGAUGUGAGCUCGUGAGGACGACACGACACAACACGACAGCAGGCUGCACGUGGGCCCAAUUUAGCUUGAUCCUCGUAUAAUUGAGUCCCUCAGUUCGCUGAGUCGUGUUUAUUGCGCUUUAUUGUGCGGCUGGGAUGAUUUAGCUUUCAUGCACUAAUAAUGUGAAGGGCUGGAAAGGGUUAAUGCGGCUAACGGAGACAAAAGGGAAGCUAAUGGGCUACAAUGCUUUACAGGUUGGCUUCCAGCUGAGGCACUGCCUCUUUUCUCUGACUAUGCAGAUGCCUUUGGGCGCAGCAGCCUCAGACCUGGAGGAGCAGCGAGCUGAGCCGCCGCGGUCGACGGUCUAAAGGAGACCACCUGGGACCACUCUGAGCUCUAAGAUGAAGUUGGCACAACUGGAAGCUGCUGCAUGAAUAAAGUUCUUGAAUGCAUUGUGA